AUUGAACGCUGGCGGCAUGCCUUACACAUGCAAGUCGAACGGCAGCACGGGAGCAAUCCUGGUGGCGAGUGGCGAACGGGUGAGUAAAGUAUCGGAACGUGCCCAGUCGUGGGGGAUAACGUAGCGAAAGCUACGCUAAUACCGCAUACGAUCUAUGGAUGAAAGCGGGGGAUCGCAAGACCUCGCGCGAUUGGAGCGGCCGAUAUCAGAUUAGGUAGUUGGUGGGGUAAAGGCGCACCAAGCCGACGAUCUGUAGCUGGACUGAGAGGACGGGCAGCCACACUGGGACUGAGAGCCGGCCCAGACUCCUACGGGGGGCAGCAGUGGGGAAUUUUGGACAAUGGGCGCAAGCCUGAUCCAGCCAUGCCGCGUGCAGGAUGAAGGCCUUCGGGUUGUAAACUGCUUUUGUACGGAACGAAAAGGUUUGACUUAAUACGUUGGACUCAUGACGGUACCGUAAGAAUAAGCACCGGCUAACUACGUGCCAGCCGCCGCCGUAA
rnacentral:rRNA from 1 species